GAAGAAGAAAGCAAGAAACAAUGAGCUGAAAAUGAUGAUCAUGAUGAAUAUUCUUCCUCUUCUUCAUCCAAAAGCAUUUCUUGGUUGCGACAUUCAUGGCUGCAAAAAGCUUUCUCACCUCUGUAAAUAUAGAUGUCAUUGGUGAGUUCAAGAUCAUUCUUGCAAGUAUAACAAAAGCUAAGAAAAUCGUUGUUGGUGUUAUUCUUCUUCUUCUUCCUCACAUCCGCCGUAGAAAAAUUGUGGGAAGAACCAUAAUCAACAAAGCUUUUAACCACAAAAUUAUCAAAAAUAUGAGUAAUCUUAGCAUUAGGCCCAUGUCUUUUAAUACAAGUAUACUCUUCACAAACCUCCAUCUCCUUCACCGUCAUCAACAACCCAUUACCCAUUUCUCCUC
rnacentral:misc_RNA from 1 species